GAAGCAGUGCCCAGGCUUGGAGAGCCUAACUGCAAGCUGCUUUGCUGUGAGGCAAAAGACUGGCUAGCUGAACCCUGGGGCAGAGACACAGGCUUGUAUGAGGCAGUAGCAGAUUGGGAAGGUGCCUGACCCAGUGUAAAGGAAUACCAGUUUGAAGGUUGAG